rnacentral:rRNA from 1 species
GACGAACGCUGGCGGCGUGCUUAACACAUGCAAGUCGAGCGGAGCGGCGAACGGGUGAGUAACGCGUGAGUAACUGCCCCCCUCUCUGUGAUGACAGUUAGAAACGGGUGCUAGUACCGGAUAGUGGGGGAUGACUCGGGUCCUAUCAGCUUGUUGGUGGGGUAGUGGCCUAUCAAGGCGACGACGGGUAGCCGGCCUGGGAGGGUGACCGGCCACAUUGGGCUGAGAUACGGCCCAAACUCCGACGGGAGGCAGCAGGGGAGAAUAUUGCACAAUGGGGCAAACCCUGAUGCAGCAGCGCCGCGUGCGGUAUGACGGCCUUCGGGUUGUAAACCGCUUUCAGCCAUGACGCGGUAGUGGCAGAAGAAGCACCGGCUAACUACGUGCCAGCAGCCGCGGUAAUUC